UUAUGGUGCUAGUAUAUUCCAGAUGUCUGAAAGCAGUAGUGUUUUAAGCUGUGACAUAUCAGUCGACGAUCGUUUUAUUGUUACUGGAUCUGGAGACAAGAAGGCUACAGUGUAUGAAGUUAUACUAUGAGUAGGUGAUAUUUGACUUGUAAUGAAUAAUGCAAUCUACACUUGAGUUUAGUCUCUUUGUUACAAGUACUGACUACAAAACUCUCAUGUAAUAUAAAAUCUCUAAUAAUUCCAGGUAAGAUAUUGUUUGUCAUGUUUGCUAUAAUGCAUUAACAUUAAUAAUAAUAAUAAUAAUAAUAAUAAUAAAACUUGAAUUCUUUUGAUUGUAAUAUCUUGUAUUACUAUUAUACCUGAGGGUUAGUUUGUGAGUACAUUUCUUGUAAGUACUAGCUCAAGUACCUUUUAUCAUAAUCACCAAGAGAGUACCAACUACCAAUUAUUAUUAAUUGGACUCACCACUAACUCACUAAGAAGAAUAUAUUCCAAUGCAUUCAAUAGCAGGACCAUCACCUCAUCAGCAAGCAAAGAAGACAUGUUUUAACCUGAUGUAUUCCUUGACAUACAACCAACUAAUAAUUACUGUACUUAUUGUUAUAAUGUUGGCAGUGAUUGGAUUUAAUUUA